AAAGAACAAAGUGAUAGCACUAUCACAAUCCGCAUACAUAGAUAAGUUAUCAGAAUGUCAUGUAAUGAUCAAUUUAAAUUGUAAUAGGCCCGAUUUGCCCGACUCAUUAUACUAAACCAAACAAAAAAAUAAAUAAUAAAUUAGCCCAAACGUCCAGGCCUAAAAUCAAGGCCCAAUUACAACAAAUCCAAAAAAAUAAAAAUCCCUAGCCCAACUAAAAACAAAAAAGUCGAAACCCUAGCUCCCUUUUAGCAGCCGCCGCCACCUCACCCUUCCCACACGCGCCG
rnacentral:lncRNA from 1 species